GACGAACGCUGGCGGCGUGCUUAACACAUGCAAGUCGAACGGAAAGGCCCUGCUUUUGUGGGGUGCUCGAGUGGCGAACGGGUGAGUAACACGUGAGUAACCUGCCCUUGACUUUGGGAUAACUUCAGGAAACUGGGGCUAAUACCGGAUAGGAGCUCCUGCUGCAUGGUGGGGGUUGGAAAGUUUCGGCGGUUGGGGAUGGACUCGCGGCUUAUCAGCUUGUUGGUGGGGUAGUGGCUUACCAAGGCUUUGACGGGUAGCCGGCCUGAGAGGGUGACCGGCCACAUUGGGACUGAGAUACGGACCAGACUCCUACGGGAGGCAGCAGUGGGGAAUAUUGCACAAUGGGCGGAAGCCUGAUGCAGCAACGCCGCGUGCGGGAUGACGGCCUUCGGGUUGUAAACCGCUUUCGCCUGUGACGAAGCGUGAGUGACGGUAAUGGGUAAAGAAGCACCGGCUAGCUACGUG
rnacentral:rRNA from 1 species